GACGAACGCUGGCGGCGUGCUUAACACAUGCAAGUCGAACGGAAAGGCCCUGCUUUUGUGGGGUGCUCGAGUGGCGAACGGGUGAGUAACACGUGAGUAACCUGCCCUUGACUUUGGGAUAACUUCAGGAAACUGGGGCUAAUACCGGAUAGGAGCUCCUGCUGCAUGGUGGGGGUUGGAAAGUUUCGGCGGUUGGGGAUGGACUCGCGGCUUAUCAGCUUGUUGGUGGGGUAGUGGCUUACCAAGGCUUUGACGGGUAGCCGGCCUGAGGGGGUGACCGGCCACAUUGGGACUGAGAUGCGGCCCAGACUCCUACGGGAGGCAGCAGUGGGGAAUAUUGCACAAUGGGCGGAAGCCUGAUGCAGCAACGCCGCGUGCGGGAUGACGGCCUUCGGGUUGUAAACCGCUUUCGCCUGUGACGAAGCGUGAGUGACGGUAAUGGGUAAAGAAGCACCGGCUAACUAGGUG
rnacentral:rRNA from 1 species